rnacentral:tRNA from 1 species
UAGGUUGUAGCUCAGUGGUAGAGCACGUGCUUAUCACUGAUAAGUUCCUGGGUUCAAUCCCCAGCAUCACAA